AUGUCAGCCGCCGCGGUAAUACGGAGGAUGCAAGCGUUAUCCGGAAUGAUUGGGCGUAAAGCGUCCGCAGGUGGCACAUCAAGUCUGCUGUCAAAGCCCCCAGCUUAACUGGGAAGAGGCGGUGGAAACUGGUGAGCUAGAGAGCAAUAGGGGUAGAGGGAAUUCCCGGUGUAGCGGUGAAAUGCGUAGAGAUCGGGAAGAACACCAGUGGCGAAAGCGCUCUACUAGGUUGCAACUGACACUGAGGGACGAAAGCUAGGGGAGCGAAUGGGAUUAGAUACCCCAGUAGUCCUAGCUGUAAACGAUGGAUACUAGGCGUUGCUUGUAUCGACCCAAGCAGUGCCGUAGCUAACGCGUUAAGUAUCCCGCCUGGGGAGUACGCACGCAAGUGUGAAACUUAAAGGAAUUGGCGGGG
rnacentral:rRNA from 1 species